UACGAAGGGUGCAAGCGUUGUUCGGAUUUAUUGGGCGUAAAGCGCGCGCAGGCGGAUUCUUAAGUCAGAUGUGAAAUCUCAGGGCCUAACCCUGAAACUGCGUCUGAAACUGGGAAUCUAGAAUUUUGGAGAGGCAAGGGGAAUUUCACAUGUAGGGGUAAAAUCCGUAGAGAUGUGAAGGAACACCGGAAGCGAAGGCGCCUUGCUGGACGAAUAUUGACGCUGAGGCGCGAAAGUGUGGGGAGCAAACAGG
rnacentral:rRNA from 2 species